GUGAAGGGCAGAAUGGGGAUCUGAACACAGGAUUUUUCCAUUGCAAAGCUCUUCCCAUCACAGGAUGCAUAGUGUUUCCUGAAAAUGUGGUUGGCACCUCUAAGCAGCCCUGAGUAGAUUGACUAGAAAGAUGGGGAUAGAUUUAGAAAGGUAACUGGGCAUCCAGUCUUUGGAAACCUUUUGAGACAGCCCUCUUAGGUUCCACGACUCUUCCAUCCACCUUGUGUGGCUUUGUAUUCAUUCAUGACUGCAUCUGUCUGCACCACAAUGGCAUAUGUGACAAACCCAAAGCUUCUGGAGUGCUUCAGAUUAUGAACACAGCUUUGGUGAAACUUCAUCUGAAAGAAUCCUCUACAGGCUGGUUGAAAAUGUGACCCUUAAAGAAGUUUUGUUCUUGGAUCUGCUAGGCACCUCCAUCUAGAACUAUUGUUUUGUUUUAGGCUAAUUUCUUGGCUAGACAAUUCCUGGAGCGUACAAGUUAUGUAAAUUCUAAUAUAAACUAAGAUGAAGAGAGGCUUAUAGCUGUAAAUGGUCAGAGCUGUAAGUUUAUUUUAAUUAUUUAUUUUUCCUA
rnacentral:lncRNA from 1 species